rnacentral:tRNA from 1 species
GCCAAGGUGGCAGAGUGGUAAUGCAGCGGCCUGCAGAACCUAAAACAAAUUUUCUUACUAAAAAGCUAAGACAAGACUAAAGUAGAUAGCCGCCAUUCCCCGGUUCAAAUCCGGGCCUUGGCU